rnacentral:rRNA from 1 species
GACGGAGGGGGCUAGCGUUGUUCGGAAUUACUGGGCGUAAAGGGUGCGUAGGCGGCUUUGUCAGUCAGCGGUGAAAUCCCAGAGCUUAACUUUGGAACUGCCGUUGAUACUGCAAGGCUUGAGUACGAAAGAGGUGAGCGGAAUUCCAAGUGUAGAAGUGAAAUUCGUAGAUAUUUGGAGGAACACCGAAGGCGAAGGCAGCUCACUGGGUCGUUACUGACGCUGAGGCACGAAAGUGUGGGGAUCAAACAGG